CAGUCGCCGCGGUAAUACGUAGGUCCCGAGCGUUGUCCGGAUUUAUUGGGCGUAAAGCGAGCGCAGGCGGUUAGAUAAGUCUGAAGUUAAAGGCUGUGGCUUAACCAUAGUACGCUUUGGAAACUGUUUAACUUGAGUGCAAGAGGGGAGAGUGGAAUUCCAUGUGUAGCGGUGAAAUGCGUAGAUAUAUGGAGGAACACCGGUGGCGAAAGCGGCUCUCUGGCUUGUAACUGACGCUGAGGCUCGAAAGCGUGGGGAGCAAAUGGGAUUAGAUACCCCAGUAGUCCCUGUCUCUUAUACA
rnacentral:rRNA from 1 species